rnacentral:rRNA from 1 species
UCCGCAAUGGGCGAAAGCCUGACGGAGCAACGCCGCGUGAGGGACGAAGGCCUCUGGGCUGUAAACCUCUUUUCUCAAGGAAGAAGAUAUGACGGUACUUGAGGAAUAAGCCACGGCUAAUUCCGUGCCAGCAGCCGCGGUAAUACGGGAGUGGCAAGCGUUAUCCGGAAUUAUUGGGCGUAAAGCGUCCGCAGGCGGCUUUUCAAGUCUGCUGUUAAAGCGUGGAGCUUAACUCCAUCAUGGCAGUGGAAACUGAUAGGCUUGAGUAUGGUAGGGGCAGAGGGAAUUCCCGGUGUAGCGGUGAAAUGCGUAGAUAUCGGGAAGAACACCAGUGGCGAAGGCGCUCUGCUGGGCCAUUACUGACGCUCAUGGACGAAAGCCAGGGGAGCGAAAGGGAUUAGAUACCCCUGUAGUCCUGGCCGUAAACGAUGAACACUAGGUGUCGGGGGAAUCGACCCCUUCGGUGUCGUAGCUAACGCGUUAAGUGUUCCGCCUGGGGAGUACGCACGCAAGUGUG